rnacentral:rRNA from 1 species
UACGUAGGGGGCAAGCGUUGUCCGGAUUUAUUGGGCGUAAAGAGCGUGUAGGCGGCCAGGUAGGUGGGUUGUGAAAACUGGAGGCUCAACCUUCAGACGUCGACCCAAACCCCCUGGCUAGAGUCCGGAAGAGGAGAGUGGAAUUCCGGGUGUAGUGGUGAAAUGCGUAGAUAUCCGGAGGAACACCAGUGGCGAAGGCGACUUUCUGGCCUGUUCUUGACGCUGAGGCGCGAAAGCUAGGGGAGCAAACGGG